AGGAGGGGCUGCAGCAGCUGCUGAAAGAGCAGUGGGAGGAGGAGCAGGAGCUGGAGCAGCUGGUGCUGCAGUGGUCAGAGUAGCAGUAGUCUGAGGAACAAUCUGAAUUCCCAAGGCAACUGACAUUGACAACGUCCGAGGCUUAUUAAAGCAAAUGCAACAAUCAUCAAUCACUGCAUAAGCCGGAAGGAUCAGUCUUUUUGAAAGGCCAUCUUAUGUUUUUCU